GACGAACGCUGGCGGCGUGCCUAAUACAUGCAAGUAGAACGCUGAAGGAGGAGCUUGCUUCUCUGGAUGAGUUGCGAACGGGUGAGUAACGCGUAGGUAACCUGCCUGGUAGCGGGGGAUAACUAUUGGAAACGAUAGCUAAUACCGCAUAAGAGUAGAUGUUGCAUGACAUUUGCUUAAAAGGUGCAAUUGCAUCACUACCAGAUGGACCUGCGUUGUAUUAGCUAGUUGGUGAGGUAACGGCUCACCAAGGCGACGAUACAUAGCCGACCUGAGAGGGUGAUCGGCCACACUGGGACUGAGACACGGCCCAGACUCCUACGGGAGGCAGCAGUAGGGAAUCUUCGGCAAUGGACGGAAGUCUGACCGAGCAACGCCGCGUGAGUGAAGAAGGUUUUCGGAUCGUAAAGCUCUGUUGUAAGAGAAGAACGAGUGUGGGAGUGGAAAGUUCACACUGUGACGGUAUCUUACCAGAAAGGGACGGCUAACUACGUG
rnacentral:rRNA from 1 species